CGUAUAUGCAAAUGAGUAAAUAUUUUCUUCGCCUGUACAUAUAAAAAGCAAAGCAAAGCACAGAAAAACAAAUUGCGUCUUAAUUUGUCAAGGUUUUACAAUCUACAUUCAGAUAACCAAGAACUAACAAUGAAGAAUUUUCUUCUUAUUCUGCUUUUAUGUGCACUUCUUAUGGCAAUCUGUGAGGCACAAAAUAUGGGAACUUUAUGGUUUUUGAGUAGAAUGAUGAACAGACAAAAUCAACCGAUGAGCUUCAUGGAUAUGAUGCUAAUGAACCAGUAUGACAUCAUUUAACCUCCGAAAAUGAACCCACAAACGAUACUCGACGACGCAAAUGACCUUGACAAGAAUGCCCACUUGUUGUUAUAUUGUUGGAAUCCAUUCACAAUCAACCAGACUGUUCAUUUUAUUUAUAUAACAUUGUAAUUAUCAUCUAACUUUGUAUUUCAUAUUUUAUAACAAAUUCGAUAAAAAGUGUUUCUGUU